UACGGAGGGUGCAAACGUUGCUCGGAAUCAUUGGGCGUAAAGCGCACGUAGGCGGCCUGUUAAGUCGGGUGUGAAAAGCCCUGGGCUCAACCCAGGAAGUGCACUCGAAGCUGGCGGGCUUGAAUAUGGGAAGAGGGUCGCGGAAUUCCCGGUGUAGAGGUGAAAUUUCGUAGAUAUCGGGAGGAACACCAGUGGCGAAGGCGGCGACCUGGGCCAAUAUUGACGCUGAGGUGCGAAAGCGUGGGGGAGCAAACAGG
rnacentral:rRNA from 1 species